UACAGAGGUCUCAAGCGUUGUUCGGAUUCAUUGGGCGUAAAGCGUCUGUAGGUGGCUUUUCAAGUCCGCCGUCAAAUCCCAGGGCUCAACCCUGGGCAGGCGGUGGAAAAUGCCAAGCUGGAGUACGGUAGGGGCAGAGGGAAUUUCCGGUGGAGCGGUGAAAUGCGUAGAGAUCGGAAAGAACACCAACGGCGAAAGCACUCUGCUGGGCCGACACUGACACUGAGAGACGAAAGCUAGGGGAGCGAAUGGG
rnacentral:rRNA from 1 species